rnacentral:rRNA from 1 species
AAUAGCCUAACGGCUGAACCAGCAACUUGGAGGAAUGUAUAGCGAUAGCUAAUUGCAUCAAUAUCGAUGCAAUAUUGACUUAGUCGAAUAAAAUUCUAGGUAGAAUUAUGAUAAUGACAUUGUCUGCCUAUGUGUCUUGACCAAAUUACGUGCCAGCAGUCGCGGUAAUACGUAGAAGACUAGUGUUAUUCAUCUUUAAUAGGUUUAAAGGGUACCUAGACGGUAAAUAAAGCCUUAAAAGGGGACUAAUUUACUAGAGUUACUUAUGAGGGGGCAUUAAAGUACUGCUGGUGGAGAGAUGAAAUUCUGUGAUACCUCUUUCGUAAAGAAAAGAAUGGCACAGGUAUAGGCGAAGGCAUCCCCUUAUGUGAUAACUGACGUUGAAGGACGAAGGCUUCGUGCAGCGAACAGGAUUAGAUACCCUAGUAGUCGAAGCAGAAAAUGAUGAAUGUCAUAGAUUAGGCAUUAGAGCUUAUUCUAUAAAUGAAAGUGUAAGCAUUCCACCUCAAGAGUAAUUUGGCAACAUUGGAACUGAAAUCAUUAGACCGUUUCUGAAACCAGUAGUGAAGUAUGUUGUUUAAUUUGAUAAUCCGCAAAAAACCUUACCACAACUUGAAUAUUUAUAUCUAUAUUAGAUCUAAUCUUUCUUACUUUUUAUAAAAAAUAAGAUAUAAGAAAUUAAUGGAAAAAAUUAAAGACAUUUUUACAAGCGUUGCACGGCUGUCUUCAGUUAAUGUCGCGAGACUAUGGUUAGUUCCAUUAAAUUAACGCAAACCCUUACUUUAUUUUUAUAUAAAGUAGUUCCCCACUAGAUUGGAUAAGAUAACAGGGACUAAGACAAGUCAUCAUGGCCUUAAUGUUGUGGGCUAUAGACGUGCCACAUAAACCUUACAAAAGGAUGUGAAAUUGUGAAAUUGAACUAAUCCCCUAAAAAUGGAGAUACACUAACAAU